rnacentral:misc_RNA from 1 species
GAUGAAGAACGUAGUGAAAUGCGAUAAUUAAUGUGAAUUGCAGAAUUCAGUGAAUCAUCGAGUCUUUGAACGCACAUUGCGCCCCCUGGUAUUCCGGGGGGCAUGCCUGUCCGAGCGUCAUUGCUGCCCUCAAGCACGGCUUGUGUGUUGGGCUUCCGUCCCUGGCAACGGGGACGGGCCCAAAAGGCAGUGGCGGCACCAUGUCUGGUCCUCGAGCGUAUGGGGCUUUGUCACCCGCUCCCGUAGGUCCAGCUGGCAGCUAGCCUCGCAACCAAUCUUUUUAACCAGGUUGACCUCGGAUCAGGUAGGGAUACCCGCUGAACUUAAGCAUAUCAAUAAGCGGAGAA